ensembl:lncRNA
UAAAUUCUGUCAUCUGCUCAUUAUUGGUGUUAAUGGUGUUUUUUACAUGCAUGCUUUUUAAUGCUAGUUUAAUUCCCAAAUAGAUCUGAUACUUUAGUUUCAACAAAUCUUUAAUAAACAAAUGGUUAACUUUUUUUAGGUCCUGACUGCCACCAGUUGAGUCAAUGAUUCAGUGAGUUGCUUAUAAGAAAAGAUAUUAAUCUGUUACCACCUAGUAGUUUAACUUUAUUAUUUAUUGCUGUAAAAUUAACACAUAUUUAUCAUCAAGUGGAGAGACAGUCUGGGCAGCAGCAACAAGACAACUAUUACAAGUAGAGAUGGGUUUUAAGAACUGACACAACCACAUAUCAUCCAAAUCAUCUCCAAGUGGAUGGCAGCAAGGAUCCAGGAUCAAGAGAUGAUUCAUCAUGAAGACUGUUCCAUAGGAAGCAGUGAAUCCUGGGUCAUCCUGACCAUUCUGCUGUCCCGGAUGUAAGGCCAUGCUGGAACUGCAUUUUGCAUCAUGGUUGAAAGAUUUGUGCAGCGGCAUCCAGACAUAUAUAACACCCCAUUCAUACGGGGCGUCGGCGUCAACGCCUCUCGUUUACUCUGAAUGGAGUGAUGUCAAGUGUUGGCAAAAUUAAUUGUGGGUCCGUUGCUCAUGGCAGAAGUUGAAAACUUUUCAAGCGCAAAUGCCGCCGUCCUCCAAUCAGAA